rnacentral:rRNA from 1 species
UACGAAGGGGGCUAGCGUUGCUCGGAAUGACUGGGCGUAAAGGGCGCGUAGGCGGAUGGCACAGUCAGAUGUGAAAUUCCCGGGCUUAACCUGGGGGCUGCAUUUGAUACGUGUGAUCUAGAGUGAGGAAGAGGGUCGUGGAAUUCCCAGUGUGGAGGUGAAAUUCGUAGAUAUUGGGAAGAACACCGGUGGCGAAGGCGGCGACCUGGUCCUUGACUGACGCUGAGGCGCGAAAGCGUGGGGAGCAAACAGG